ACAGACGAGGAGCUUGCUCCUCUGACGUUAGCGGCGGACGGGUGAGUAACACGUGGGUAACCUACCUAUAAGACUGGGAUAACUCCGGGAAACCGGGGCUAAUACCGGAUAACACAUGAAACCGCAUGGUUUCAUGAUGAAAGACGGUUUUGCUGUCACUUAUAGAUGGACCCGCGGCGUAUUAGCUAGUUGGUAAGGUAACGGCUUACCAAGGCAACGAUACGUAGCCGACCUGAGAGGGUGAUCGGCCACACUGGAACUGAGACACGGUCCAGACUCCUACGGGAGGCAGCAGUAGGGAAUCUUCCGCAAUGGGCGAAAGCCUGACGGAGCAACGCCGCGUGAGUGAUGAAGGUCUUCGGAUCGUAAAACUCUGUUAUUAGGGAAGAACAAGGAUGUAAGUAACUAUGCAUCCCUUGACGGUACCUAAUCAGAAAGCCACGGCUAACUACGUGCCAGCAGCCGCGGUAAUACGUAGGUGGCAAGCGUUAUCCGGAAUUAUUGGGCGUAAAGCGCGCGUAGGCGGUUUUUUAAGUCUGAUGUGAAAGCCCACGGCUCAACCGUGGAGGGUCAUUGGAUACUGGAAAACUUGAGUGCAGAAGAGGAAAGUGGAAUUCCAUGUGUAGCGGUGAAAUGCGCAGAGAUAUGGAGGAACACCAGUGGCGAAGGCGACUUUCUGGUCUGCAACUGACGCUGAUGUGCGAAAG
rnacentral:rRNA from 1 species